GCGUACCUACUAGCCUACGACGGGUACGGGUUGUGAGAGCAAGAGCCCGGAGAUGGAUUCUGAGACACGAAUCCAGGCCCUACGGGGUGCAGCAGGCGCGAAAACUUUACAAUGUUGGAAACAGCGAUAAGGGGACCUCGAGUGCCAGGUUACAAAUCUGGCUGUCGUGAUGCCUAAAAAGCAUUGCAUAGCAAGGGCCGGGCAAGACCGGUGCCAGCCGCCGCGGUAACACCGGCGGCUCGAGUGGUAACCGUUAUUAUUGGGUCUAAAGGGUCUGUAGCCGGCCGGAUAAGUCUCUUGGGAAAUCCAGCAGCUCAACUGUUGGGCUUUCAGGAGAUACUGUCUGGCUCGAGGCCGGGAGAGGUGAGAGGUACUUCAGGGGUAGGGGUGAAAUCUUGUAAUCCUUGAAGGACCACCAGUGGCGAAGGCGUCUCACCAGAACGGACCCGACGGCAAGGGACGAAAGCUAGGGGCACGAACCGGAUUAGAUACCCGGGUAGUCCUAGCCGUAAACGAUACUCGCUAGGUGUCGGCCACGGUGCGACCGUUGUCGGUGCCGUAGGGAAGCCGUGAAGCGAGCCACCUGGGAAGUACGGCCGCAAGGCUGAAACUUAAAGGAAUUGGCGGAGGAGCACCACAACGGGUGGAG
rnacentral:rRNA from 1 species